CUGGAAUCGCUAGUAAUCGCGGAUCAGAAUGUCGCGGUGAAUACGUUCCCGGGUCUUGUACACACCGCCCGUCACGCCAUGGGAGUCAGCAACGCCCGAAGUCAGUGACCUAACCUUAUAGGGAGGAGCUGCCGAAGGCGGGGCCGGUAACUGGGGUGAAGUCGUAACAAGGUACC
rnacentral:rRNA from 1 species